rnacentral:rRNA from 1 species
GAUGAACGCUGGCGGCGUGCCUAAUACAUGCAAGUCGAGCGAACGGACGAGAAGCUUGCUUCUCUGACGUUAGCGGCGGACGGGUGAGUAACACGUGGAUAACCUACCUAUAAGACUGGGAUAACUUCGGGAAACCGGAGCUAAUACCGGAUGAUAUUUUGAACCGCAUGGUUCAAUAGUGAAAGACGGUCUUGCUGUCACUUAUAGAUGGAUCCGCGCUGCAUUAGCUAGUUGGUAAGGUAACGGCUUACCAAGGCAACGAUGCGUAGCCGACCUGAGAGGGUGAUCGGCCACACUGGAACUGAGACACGGUCCAGACUCCUACGGGAGGCAGCAGUAGGGAAUCUUCCGCAAUGGGCGAAAGCCUGACGGAGCAACGCCGCGUGAGUGAUGAAGGUCUUCGGAUCGUAAAACUCUGUUAUUAGGGAAGAACAAAUGUGUAAGUAACUGUGCACGUCUUGACGGUACCUAAUCAGAAAGCCACGGCUAACUACGUG